rnacentral:misc_RNA from 1 species
GUUGGUGAACCAGCGGAGGGAUCAUUACUGAGUUACCGCUCUACAACCCUUUGUGAACAUACCUAACUGUUGCUUCGGCGGGCAGAGGUUCCCUCGCGGAACCCCUCCCGGUGACGCCCUCACGGGCGUCGCGCCCGCCGGAGGAUACCAAACUCUAUUUUAACGACGUUUCUUCUGAGUGGCACAAGCAAAUAAUUAAAACUUUUAACAACGGAUCUCUUGGUUCUG